UCACCCUGGCCCUCCGCUGGGGUGGUGAAGAGAGGGCAGGGCCACUCCACAGCCUAGCAAGUGCCAUUUCCUCAGGGACUAAAUGCCAUCCCGGGUCCUCCUAAGGGAUCUCCAGAACCACAGAAGGACUGGCUGGAUAGAGGAAGCCCCCAGUCCUUGUACAACGGAAGAGGACAAGGGACUUGCUCAGGUGACAACAGCGCUUUGCAGAAAUGACAGUAUCUGGUCCUAGACCCACCCCUCGCCCCCCGCCCCUAGGGCUCUUUCCAGAACUGCUAACUGAGCAGGUGGCCUCUCAGAUGCGGGUCCCUGGCCCGGCUCAUGGGCGUCCACGGCCACACUCACAACCCCCGCACGUUGGGGUGGGGAGGGCGCACAUUCCGCAGGAGCUCUAGAGCCGCACGGAGCACCGCCUCGCUGGCUCCCCCCUCCCGGCUGGGCCCAGCUCCAGCCCUCGCUGUGCCCUGGCAGCUGUCUGCCGCCGCCAGUGAAGGUGAUUGCCAUGUUUGCAGCUCCUUUCCUUGUUUGGAAAGAUUUGGAGGCAGGUCCUGGGGCUCACUGAAGAAUGUGCCCAUAGACCUGGAGGAGGUGCUCUGCCCAGGUUUGAUAAGAUGAAGAUGGUUUCUAGUGGAAAACCAAAGGUCUAAGGAUUUGCCAGCAGGCUCUCUAGAGCUCACUCUGUCCAUCCCCCUGCAUGCAGCUGGACUUUCCCCUAAAGCAGCACGGGGCUGAGUUCCCUUUGAAAUCCUGGUUUGUGCAAAGGUCCUUCUAGUGGCAGCAGUGACCAGUGGUUGGGCAGGCCCGGCCAAGUCAGUGUUUGCGGGCUGGUUGCGAGAGGAAUGAUGAACAGGUCCGCGUGGAUGAAGAGGUCCAACACAAAGCCAUGCUAAUUCGUCAUAAGCUCUGCCUGCCGCCUUUUAUAUAUCAACCUGAAAUGUAAUUAUCUUUAUGGCUGGCAGAGUA